rnacentral:rRNA from 1 species
UACGAAGGUGGCAAGCGUUGUUCGGAUUUACUGGGCGUACAGGGAGCGUAGGCGGUUGGGUAAGCCCUUCGUGAAAUCUCCGGGCCUAACCCGGAAAGUGCGGAGGGACUGCUCGGCUAGAGGAUGGGAGAGGAGCGCGGAAUUCCCGGUGUAGCGGUGAAAUGCGUAGAGAUCGGGAGGAAGGCCGGUGGCGAAAGCGAGCCUCUGGACAGUUACUGACGCUGAUGCACGAAGGCCAGGGGAGCAAACGGG